GACGAACGCUGGCGGCGUGCUUAACACAUGCAAGUCGAACGGAAAGGCCCUGCUUGCAGGGUACUCGAGUGGCGAACGGGUGAGUAACACGUGGGUGAUCUGCCCUGCACUUCGGGAUAAGCCUGGGAAACUGGGUCUAAUACCGGAUAGGAGCCAUUUUUAGUGUGAUGGUUGGAAAGUUUUUUCGGUGUAGGAUGAGCUCGCGGCCUAUCAGCUUGUUGGUGGGGUAAUGGCCUACCAAGGCGGCGACGGGUAGCCGGCCUGAGAGGGUGGACGGCCACAUUGGGACUGAGAUACGGCCCAGACUCCUACGGGAGGCAGCAGUGGGGAAUAUAGCACAAGGGGCGCAAGCCUGAUGCAGCGACGCCGCGGGGGGGAUGACGGCCUUCGGGUUGUAAACUCCGUUCGCUAGGGACGAAGCUUUUUGUGACGGUACCUAGAUAAGAAGCACCGGCUAACUACGUG
rnacentral:rRNA from 1 species